AUGGUAGACGUGUCACCUGAAACGGCUGCGGCUGGAGCGGGCUGUCUGAGGUGGGCGGCAUCGGCUCUGUUACUCUGGAGCCUGCACUUGCCCACCCGGAUGCUGUCAGCUACGGCUCGGCUCUACCAUAAAAAAGGUGGUUGACCAUUAUGAAAAUCGUAGAAAUGUGGGGUCUGUUGACAAGACAUCUAAAAAUGUUGGGACUGGAUUGCUGGGGGCUCCAGCAUGUGGUGAUGUAAUGAAAUUACAGAUUCAAGUAGACGAAAAGGGGAAGAUUGUGGAUGCCAGGUUUAAAACAUUUGGCUGUGGCUCAGCAAUUGCUUCCAGCUCACCAGCCACUGAGUGGGUGAAAGGGGAAACGGUGGAGGAAGCCUUGACCAUCAAAAACACAGAUAUCGCCACGGAACUCUGCCUUCCUCCUGUGAAACUGCACUGCUCCAUGCUGGCUGAAGAUGCAAUCAAGGCUGCCCUGGCUGAUUACAAACUGAAACAAGAACCGAAGAAAGGAGAGGCAGAGAAGAAAUGAGCCCUGGGAGAAGCCUUCAAGUGGUGUCAUCUGUUUGCCCACCCACCAGGCAGUACCUUUAGAUGUUCAGAAGCCCCCAGGACUACAUAAAAGAGCUAUGAGAGACACACGAGUCUCGCCAUUCACAUCGUGACCCUAGUGCAAGCAAAAUACAGAGUUUAAUUGUUCCGAAUCCUGUUAUUUCUUUCAGCCCAUAUUUAUCGCCUUAACUCAGUUAAUGUAUAUUUUGAAUUGUGUGUGUGACCUCAGA